CAGGGAUUUUAUAAAUGAAAAAUGAAAUAAUUUACCUGGGUCAUAGGAAUGAAUUUGCUUUGUCAUGUUUUUCAUUAAGUCUCCAGCACCUCAAGCGUAGCAAGUUUGUGGGUUUCUAAAGGCAUGCAGUUUUUCACACACACCUACUUCAAAGAAUUUGUCCGCUCGAACACAGCACAAUCAAGGAAAAAUAUUUUUUGGAGGCACAAGAGGAGCACAAGAACAAAGUGCCAUAGUUUUCAGAGGGAAGAAAUGGCCCAAAUCCAUGCAAUUAGGAAUGAAAAGGG
ensembl:lncRNA